rnacentral:rRNA from 1 species
AUUGAACGCUGGCGGCAGGCUUAAUACAUGCAAGUCAAGGGGGUAGCAAUACAACCGGCGCACGGGUGAGUAACGCGUACACAACAUACCAUAUACUGGGGUAUAGCUUUGGGAAACUGAAGGUAAUCCCCCAUAACAUUGCGAGAGGGCAUCUGAUUGCAAUUAAAGUUUCGGCGGUAUAUGAUUGGUGUGCGUUUGAUUAGCUAGUUGGUAGGGUAACGGCCUACCAAGGCGACGAUCAAUAGCUGGCGUGAGAGCGCGACCAGCCACACUGGAACUGAGACACGGUCCAGACUCCUACGGGAGGCAGCAGUAGGGAAUAUUGGACAAUGGAGGAAACUCUGAUCCAGCCAUGCCGCGUGAUAGAUGAAGGCCCUCUGGGUUGUAAAUAUCUUUUAUCUGGGGACGAAAAAAAGGGCUUUACUAGCUCACUUGACGGUACCAGAGGAAUAAGCACCGGCUAACUCCGUGCCAGCAGCCGCGGU